rnacentral:misc_RNA from 1 species
AUUCAUCAACCCCGAAGGGAUUUUGGUCCUUCUCGGUGGCUUGGACUUUGGGGGACUUUGCUGGCCUUCGUUGGUCGGCUCCCCUUGAAUGCAUUAGCUUGGACUUGUCCCGGCGACGUCAUAGCGUGAUAACUAUCUACGCUUUGAACCGUCUGUUGGUACCUCGUAGGUCUGGCUUCCAACCGUCUUCGGACAAUACACCAUUCA